GGCGCUGUGGCUAAGAGGUCAAUGCGCCUGUCUCGUAAACAGGAGAUCCUGGGUUCAAAUCCCAGCAUUGCCU